CGCUGGCGGCGUGCCUAAUACAUGCAAGUCGAGCGAACGGACGAGAAGCUUGCUUCUCUGAUGUUAGCGGCGGACGGGUGAGUAACACGUGGAUAACCUACCUAUAAGACUGGGAUAACUUCGGGAAACCGGAGCUAAUACCGGAUAAUAUUUUGAACCGCAUGGUUCAAAAGUGAAAGACGGUCUUGCUGUCACUUAUAGAUGGAUCCGCGCUGCAUUAGCUAGUUGGUAAGGUAACGGCUUACCAAGGCAACGAUGCAUAGCCGACCUGAGAGGGUGAUCGGCCACACUGGAACUGAGACACGGUCCAGACUCCUACGGGAGGCAGCAGUAGGGAAUCUUCCGCAAUGGGCGAAAGCCUGACGGAGCAACGCCGCGUGAGUGAUGAAGGUCUUCGGAUCGUAAAACUCUGUUAUUAGGGAAGAACAUAUGUGUAAGUAACUGUGCACAUCUUGACGGUACCUAAUCAGAAAGCCACGGCUAACUACGUGCCAGCAGCCGCGGUAAUGCGUAGGUGGCAAGCGUUAUCCGGAAUUAUUGGGCGUAAAGCGCGCGUAGGCGGUUUUUUAAGUCUGAUGUGAAAGCCCACGGCUCAACCGUGGAGGGUCAUUGGAAACUGGAAAACUUGAGUGCAGAAGAGGAAAGUGGAAUUCCAUGUGUAGCGGUGAAAUGCGCAGAGAUAUGGAGGAACACCAGUGGCGAAGGCGACUUUCUGGUCUGUAACUGACGCUGAUGUGCGAAAGCGUGGGGAUCAAACAGGAUUAGAUACCCUGGUAGUCCACGCCGUAAACGAUGAGUGCUAAGUGUUAGGGGGUUUCCGCCCCUUAGUGCUGCAGCUAACGCAUUAAGCACUCCGCCUGGGGAGUACGACCGCAAGGUUGAAACUCAAAGGAAUUGACGGGGACCCGCACAAGCGGUGGAGCAUGUGGUUUAAUUCGAAGCAACGCGAAGAACCUUACCAAAUCUUGACAUCCUUUGACAACUCUAGAGAUAGAGCUUUCCCCUUCGGGGGACAAAGUGACAGGUGGUGCAUGGUUGUCGUCAGCUCGUGUCGUGAGAUGUUGGGUUAAGUCCCGCAACGAGCGCAACCCUUAAGCUUAGUUGCCAUCAUUAAGUUGGGCACUCUAAGUUGACUGCCGGUGACAAACCGGAGGAAGGUGGGGAUGACGUCAAAUCAUCAUGCCCCUUAUGAUUUGGGCUACACACGUGCUACAAUGGACAAUACAAAGGGCAGCGAAACCGCGAGGUCAAGCAAAUCCCAUAAAGUUGUUCUCAGUUCGGAUUGUAGUCUGCAACUCGACUACAUGAAGCUGGAAUCGCUAGUAAUCGUAGAUCAGCAUGCUACGGUGAAUACGUUCCCGGGUCUUGUACACACCGCCCGUCACACCACGAGAGUUUGUAACACCCGAAGCCGGUGGAGUAACCUUUUAGGAGCUAGCCGUCGAAGGUGGGAC
rnacentral:rRNA from 1 species